GAGUGUGUCACUAACCAGGUCCUUCCUGAAACAGUUUUGUGAGUGGCAACACUUGAGGGGAAAACCAAAAAGCCCAAGAAGAUGGAAGCAGUCUGCCCUUGGGAUGACAUGGAUUUUCCUCAUGCUGAGCAUCUAAAUCAGAGUGAAAGCACAAACAAAAUGCCUAAGGAACUGUAACAAGUGGUAUGCUUCCAAAGAAACAAAUAGUGAGUUUUGCCUCUCUUAGGGCAAUCUAGGUGUAAUUCUUCAAUUACACCUAUGAAAAAUGGGGGAAAAGUCAAAAACAAAUAAAUACAAAUU